rnacentral:rRNA from 1 species
CCCUUAGAUGUUCUGGGCCGCACGCGCGCUCCACUGAUGAAUUCAACGAGCACUAACCUGUGCAGAAAUGUUCGGGUAAUCUUGUGAAAUUUCAUCGUGAUGGGGAUUGAUUAUUGCAAUUAUUAAUCAUAAACGAGGAAUGCCUAGUAAGCGUGAGUCAUCAGCUCACGUUGAUUACGUCCCUGCCCUUUGUACACACCGCCCGUCGCUCCUACCGAUUGAAUGUGCUGGUGAAAAGUUCGGAUUGGGAAUAGGAGACGGCAACGUAUCCUGUUUCUGAGAAAAUCUUUAAACCCUCCCAUUUAGAGGAAGGAGAAGUCGUAACA